rnacentral:lncRNA from 1 species
GAUGCAUUUCUAACCAUUCGAUCACAUUUCAGAUGGAAUUUCAGUCGUUGGAUCGUGCAAAUCUCUCUGUAACAAAGUCGGGAACCACCACAGCCGUUGGAUCGAGCUCUAGAUUUGAUCUAGACUGUCGAUCAGCGCAAAAAGCCUUUCUUCCACUGUGGACCAUGCGUGUAGACUGUGAACUAUUCCUAUGGACCACG